rnacentral:sRNA from 1 species
UGCUCUGACAACCAGUGGCCCAAUGUGCAGAAGGGCCAGCGCAUCCCCAAAACCCUUGACUUCUUGUUCUAUCACAAGCCCCUUGACACAGCGUUGGCUGUCUGCACAGCCCUGCUCUUUCUCCUUGCCCUGGCCAUCUUAGGCAUCUUCGUCUGACACCACCACACUCCCAUCAUCCAAGCCAACAACUGCCAGCUCAGCUAUCUCCUGCUGUCCUCCUUGGCCCUCAGCUUCCUCUGCCCCUUCAUGUUCAUUGGCCACCCAGACCCCAUCACUUGUGCUGUGCACCAGGCAGAUUUUGGGGUCACCUUCAUGGUCUGCACAUCCACUGUGCUGGCCAAGACCAUCGUGGUGGUGGCAGCCUUCCAUGCCACCCAGGCAGACACCCAGCUUAGGGGGUGGGCAGGGACAGUCCUCCUCAGCACCAUCCUCACUGUUCCCUGACCCAGGCAGCCUUGUGUGCACUCUGGGUGACCAGAUGGCCCCCUCAGCCUGUGAAACUCUACAGAACCCUGGCCCACAGUGACUGUAAAGUGUGAUAAAGGCUCCUUGGAACUUCUCUUGGAACUGGGCUACCUGAGUUUGCUAGAUCUGGUCAGCUUGCUGGUGACCUUCCCCACCUGCCGGCUGCCUGACACCUUCAAUGAAGCAAAGCAUAUCACUCUCAGCAUGUUGUCUGCUCCUGUGUCUGGGUGUCCUUCAUACCUGCCCACAUGCAUGCCCACAGCAAAGACACCAUGGCCAUGGAGGUCUUUGUCAUCUUGGCAUCAGCAGGAGGCCUCAUGUCCUCCCCCUCUUCUUUUCCAAAUGCUACAUCAUCCUUCUCCAUCCUGAAAAGAACACAAAAGACCAAAUGUUUGGCCGGCAUCUUCGCAAGUGGGAAAAACUGAAGUGAACCAUGGGGAGUGUGGCUUUCUCAGGGAUGCCUUCCUGAACUCCCCACCAGGAGGACGAG